rnacentral:rRNA from 1 species
GACGAACGCUGGCGGCGUGCCUAAUACAUGCAAGUCGAGCGAAGUUUUUCUGGUGCUUGCACCGGAAAAACUUAGCGGCGAACGGGUGAGUAACACGUAAAGAACCUGCCUCAUAGACUGGGACAACUAUUGGAAACGAUAGCUAAUACCGGAUAACAGCAUUAACUGCAUGGUUGAUGUUUGAAAGUUGGUUAUGCUAACACUAUGAGAUGGCUUUGCGGUGCAUUAGCUAGUUGGUGGGGUAAAAGCCUACCAAGGCGACGAUGCAUAGCCGACCUGAGAGGGUGAUCGGCCACACUGGGACUGAGACACGGCCCAGACUCCUACGGGAGGCAGCAGUAGGGAAUCUUCCGCAAUGGGCGAAAGCCUGACGGAGCAACGCCGCGUGAGUGAAGAAGGAUUUCGGUUCGUAAAGCUCUGUUGUUAGGGAAGAAUGAUUGUGUAGUAACUAUACACAG